rnacentral:rRNA from 1 species
ACUCAAAUGAAUUGACGGGGACCCGCACAAGCGGUGGAGCGUGUUCUUUAAUUCGAGGCUAAACGAAGAACCUUACCAGGGCUUGACAUCCCGAUAACCGAUUUCCGAAAGGAAAUUCUCAUUUAGUUGGAUCGGUGACAGGUGAUGCAUGGCCGUCGUCAGCUCGUGUCGUGAGAUGUUUGGUUAAGUCCAUCAACGAGCGCAACCCUUAUAGUUAGUUGUAUUUUUCUAGCUAGACUGCCCUUGUAAAAGGGAGGAAGGAGGGGAUGAUGUCAGGUCAGUAUUUCCCUUACGCCCUGGGCUAGAAACGCGCUACAAUGGCCGGUACAACGGGCAGCGAAGCAGCAAUGCGGAGCAAAUCCCAUCAAAACCGGUCCCAGUUCGGAUAGAAGGCUGAAACUCGCCUUCUUGAAGCCGGAAUCGCUAGUAAUCGCAAGUCAGCAAAUUGCGGUGAAUACGUUCCCGGGUCUUGUACACACCGCCCGU